rnacentral:misc_RNA from 1 species
GAUGAAGAACGUAGCGAAAUGCGAUAAGUAAUGCGAAUUGCAGAAUUUCCGUGAGUCAUCGAAUCUUUGAACGCACAUUGCGCCCACUGGUAUUCCGGUGGGCAUGCCUGUUCGAGCGUCAUUAUCCUCCCUCAAACCCCGGGUUUGGUGUUGGACCCAAGUUGUGUGAACAACUGGUCUCAAAGACAAUGACGGCGUCCGUGGGACCCUCGGUGCAACGAGCCUUUAGGAGCACGCAUCGAGUUGCAAGGACCUUCCGGGCCGGUCUCCUUUACCAUUUUACAAGGUUGACCUCGGAUCAGGUAGGAAUACCCGCUGAACUUAAGCAUAUCAAUAAGCGGAGGA